rnacentral:rRNA from 1 species
GGUUCGAUUAUGGCUCAGAUUGAACGCUGGCGGGAUGCUUUACACAUGCAAGUCGAACGGCAGCACGGACUUCUGGUCUGGUGUGGCGAGUGGUGAACGGGUGAGUAAUGUAUCGGGAACGUGCCCAGUAGCGGGGGAUAACUACGCGAAAGGUGUAGCUAAUACCGCAUACGCCCUUCGGGGGAAAGCGGGGACCUGGCCUCGCACUAUUAGAGCGGCCGAUAUCGGAUUAGCUAGUUGGUGGGUAACGGCUCACCAUAUGACGAGAUCCAGGCUGGUUUGAGAGGACGACCAGCCAGUCCGGGACCGAGACACGGCCCAGACUCCCGCACGGAGGCGUGCAGGGAGAGGUAUUCUGGACAAUGGGGAAACCCCGAUCCAGCCAUCCUUCCGCGUGCGAUGAAGGCCUUCGGGUUGUAAAGCACUUUUGGCAGGAAAGAAACGGCACGGACACACCUGUGCAACUGACGGUACCUGCAGAAUAAGCACCGGCUAACUACGUGCCAGCAGCCGCGGUAAUACGUAGGGGUGCAAGCGUUAAUCGGAAUUACUGGGCGUAAAAGCGUGCGCAGGCGGUUCGGAAAAAAGAAAGAUGUGAAAUCCCAGAGCUUAACUUUGUCACGUAUUUAACGGUCACAAAUAGAGGUACAGAGGGGAGGUGGAAUUCCGCGUAGCAGUGAAAUGCGUAGAUAUGCGGAGGAACACCACGAUGGCGAAGGCAGCCUCCUGGGAUAACACUGACGCUCAUGCACGAAAGCGUGGGGAGCAAAAUGCACAGGAUUAGAUACCCCAUAGUCCACACCCGCAACGAUGUCAACUAGCUGUUGGGGGCCUUCGGGCCUUGGUAGCGCAGCUAACGCGGUGAAGUUGACCGCCUGGGGAGUACGGUCGCAAGAUUAAAACUCAAAGGAAUUGACGGGGACCGCACAAGCGGUGGGAUGAUGUGGAUUAAUUCGAUGCAACAAAACUUUGACUACCUACCCUUAUAUGGCCUAAAUCCCAGAGAUCUGGGGAGUGCUCGCAAGAGAACCGAACACAGGUGCUCGUGUAUGGCUGUCGUCAGCUCGUGUCGUGAGAUGUUGGGUUAAGUCCCGCAACGAAAGCGCAACCUUGUCAUUAGUUGCUACGAAAGGGCACUCUAAUGAGACUGCCGUGACAAAACCGAGGAAGGUGGGGAUGACGUCAAGUCCUCAUGGCCCUUAUGGUAGGGCUUCACACGUCAUACAAUGGUCGGGACAGAGGGUCGCCAACCCGCGAGGGGGGAGCCAAUCCCAGAAAAGUCCUUGAUCGUAGUCCGGAUCGCAGUCUGCAAUCCUCGACUGCGUGAAGUCGGAAUCGCUAGUAAUCGCGGAUCAGCAUGUCGCGGUGAAUACGUUCCCGGUCUUGCACACACCGCCCGUCACACCAUGGGAGUGGGUUUUACCAGAAGUAGUUAGCCUAACCGUAAGGAGGGCGAUUACCACGGUAGGAUUCAUGACUGGGGUAGUCGCAACAAAGGUAG